rnacentral:pre_miRNA from 1 species
AGUGGAAUAGUUGGGUCAUAUGGUGGUUCCAGUUUUUUUGAGGAAUCUCUAUACUGCUUUCCGGAGUGGUUGUAUUACUCUGCAGUCUCAUCAACAGU